rnacentral:lncRNA from 1 species
ACGACUUGAAUGAGCCCCAUUUGGAGCUCAGAAGUCGUCAAAAACCUGGAGCACAGCUGAUCCCCCCUCCUCCAAGACCAUCGAUCUCAACAGAACUGCUGAAGCCCAGGCUGAAGUGCAACAAGUGUUCUCAUAUCCUAUGUCCCUGUUGCCAAGGUAGUAUGCACCUGUGUGUGUGUGUGUGUGUGUGUGUGUGUGUGUGUGUGUGUGUGUGUGUGUGUGUGCCUGCACUGUAACCUACACAUUCUGACUAUUUAUUACUUUCUAACUUUUUCUUUCCUUUCCUAACUUUUGUUUGGCGAUAAAUCAUAACCGUAUAAGAUGUUCUGAAUUUGACCAAACCAAUGCCUUCAUACGGCCACUAGGUGAUAGCAAAACCUCACAACUACUGUAGGUCACUAUCAACAGUUGUCCAGCUUUAGGCAAUAGGCCAUACUAAUAACAUCACCUUAAAUAUCUUACUAAAAUAUCACCAAAACCAUCCAGUAUUAUAGUAUUUACAAUAAAUGAAUAAUGAUUCGUAUAAGUAUAUUAGUA